AUUGAACGCUGGCGGCAUGCCUUACACAUGCAAGUCGAACGGUAACAGGUCUUCGGAUGCUGACGAGUGGCGAACGGGUGAGUAAUACAUCGGAACGUGCCUAGUAGUGGGGGAUAACUACUCGAAAGAGUGGCUAAUACCGCAUGAGAUCUACGGAUGAAAGCAGGGGACCGCAAGACCUUGUGCUACUAGAGCGGCCGAUGGCAGAUUAGGUAGUUGGUGGGAUAAAAGCUUACCAAGCCGACGAUCUGUAGCUGGUCUGAGAGGACGAUCAGCCACACUGGGACUGAGAAACGGCCCAGACUCCCACGGGAGGCAGCAGUGGGGAAUUUUGAACAAUGGGCGCAAGCCUGAUCCAGCAAUGCCGCGUGCAGGAUGAAGGCCUUCGGGUUGUAAACUGCUUUUGUACGGAACGAAAAGCCCCGGGUUAAUACCCUGGGGUCAUGACGGUACCGUAAGAAUAAGCACCGGCUAACUACGUGCCAGCAGCCGCCGUAA
rnacentral:rRNA from 1 species